GACGAACCGUGCGAACGUUGUUCGGAAUCACUGGGCUUAAAGGGCGCGUAGGCGGGCUGUCAAGUCCGGGGUGAAAUCCUCCCGCUCAACGGGAGAACGGCCUCGGAUACUGAUGGCCUCGAGGGAGGUAGGGGCACGCGGAACUGUGGGUGGAGCGGUGAAAUGCGUUGAUAUCCAUAGGAACGCCGGUGGCGAAAGCGGCGUGCUGGACCUUUUCUGACGCUGAGGCGCGAAAGCCAGGGGAGCAAACAGG
rnacentral:rRNA from 1 species